UUUGAAAUCUGGCCUUCGGGUCCGAGUUGUAAUUUGUAGAGGAUGCUUUUGGUGCGGUACCUUCCGAGUUCCUUGGAACAGGACGCCUUAGAGGGUGAGAGCCCCGUACGGUUGGACACCAAGCCUCUGUAAAGCUCCUUCGACGAGUCGAGUAGUUUGGGAAUGCUGCUCUAAAUGGGAGGUAAAUUUCUUCUAAAGCUAAAUACCGGCCAGAGACCGAUAGCGCACAAGUAGAGUGAUCGAAAGAUGAAAAGUACUUUGAAAAGAGGGUUAAAUAGCACGUGAAAUUGUUGAAAGGGAAGCGUUUAUGACCAGACCUUUGCCUGGCGGAUCAUCCGGUGUUCUUCACCGGUGCACUUCGCCCGGCUUAGGCCAGCAUCGAUUUUCGUUAGGGGACAAAGACCGCGGGAACGUGGCUCCCUCCGGGGAGUGUUAUAGCCCGCGGUGCAAUACCCUUGCGGGGAUCGAGGUUCGCGCUCUGCAAGGAUGCUGGCAUAAUGGUCAUCAACGACCCGUCUUGAAACACGGACCAAGGAGUCGAACAUUUAUGCGAGUGUUUGGGUGUCAAACCCUCACGCGUAAUGAAAGUGAACGGAGGUGAGAGCCCUCUCGGGGGUGCAUCAUCGACCGAUCCUGAUGUCUUCGGAUGGAUUUGAGUAAGAGCAUAACUGUUCGGACCC
rnacentral:rRNA from 1 species